rnacentral:misc_RNA from 1 species
UGGUGUUUGGUUAAAAACAAUUUUAAAAAAUUAAUAAAAAAAAUAUUUAAAAUUUUUUUAAACAAAAUGUUUGUAACACAUGAAAGUAAAUAUUCGAAAUAUACAGUAUUUUGCAUAAAUCUAGUAUUGUUGUUUAGUGCCAUUGGUUUGCUUAUUACGGGAUUUUAUGUUACCCGCAUAUUUUCUGAAUAUGACCCAUUUUUAAUACCGGAAUUUAGAUGGUUUUCUAUUUCUUCGUUUUUCAUGGGAGUCAUUAUUGCAAUACUUUCCUUGUGCGCUUGUUGGGCAGCUUUGAAAGAAAGUUACUGUAUAACUUUAACAUUUUCCAUAUUACUCGCCUUAUCAUCUCUGUUGACUUUAGCAAUCGGUAUUUUUAGUUAUCUCUUAAGGCCACAUAUUCUAAAUCUUAUUACAUAUCCCAUGUCAAGUGCUUUAAAGAGCUACGAUCCAGUCCAAGUUAACGUAGAAACUUUUAUGUGGGAUUAUCUACAAAAAAGUUUUAGCUGUUGUGGCCUGUUCAGCUCCAACGAUUGGCAAUAUUUAUCUAAUGAUCUAUUACCCCUUUCCUGUUGUUCGAUGCCCAGUGGUGCUAUGGGAAAUUUUACAUAGUCUCAAUUUACUAAUCUAGGAAAUGCUGGCAUUGCUAUUACUUUUAUUAUGUUCGUUGGUAUAAUACUGGUCACUUAUUUUGCGCGUGCAUUUAAAAACCCUUAUAUUCUAGCAAAUGCAGCGGCUCGUAUAUAUUAUUUAAGUAAAUAAAAAUGUCAUCGAAAAUUAUAUGUAUAUAUUAAAAUUUAAUUAAAAGUCAACCUUGGAAAAACUAAACUAAGUACAACUGAAUUACACCUAAACUAGAACUAAACUUGAAUUUAAACUGAACUUGAACUGAACUAGAACUGAACUAGAACUGAACUAGAACUGAACUAGAA